rnacentral:misc_RNA from 1 species
GCAGUGUCAUUUCUCUGUGCUUUGGCUUCCGCUUGGCUGCCACUGCAGCGACACACCAACUGGCCUCUUCUCGGCUCUAUAGGGUUCCCUUCACUCAGUUGACCAGCGGACCCACAACCGAAAAGGUUUCGUUGCGGUGGAGUGUCGCGAUGCUGCACAAGGAUGCCGAGCACAGGCUCACUGAAGAUGACUGUCUCACCUCCUCGCAGCAGUACGAACCCCAACUCAUCUUUCACGUGCCCUUACGGCGCAAAGGCUAUCAGGCGAUCGACGCCAAUGCCUUUGUCCGCUGCGGCGGGCUGCGCGUCGUAGACAUAUCGGGAAACAGGCUAAGCUCGUUGUCAGGGCUGGAAAGCGUCGCGCCGCAGCUCACAUUCAUCAACGCAGCCGAGAACUGCCUUCACGAUAUCAGCGCGCUCGUCACAUGCGCGGCGCUGGAGCGAUGCAUGCUGGAGGGCAACAAGCUUGCCUCGGUGGGCUCCCUUCAACCACUCGUGUCGCUCCCUUGCCUCGCUGAACUGGUGUUGCAGCGACACGUGCCUUUGGACGGCACUGACACAGACUUGGGGAGUCCUCAGCAGAGCCCUGACAGGCUGCUACUGCUGGACAACCCGGUUUGUCGCGACGCUGUGGCGUAUAGAGAGCACUUCCUCGCUAGGGUGUCCCAUGUGCGUUGGGUAGAUGGUGUGUCAGCCUAUCUACGCGCGAGCUCCCUCGCUGAGAGCACGACCGCAGAGGCGCACGACGCCACGGCAAACUCCACCAAGGCAAUCGUGGACGCCGCCAUUCGAUCUUUUCAGUCUAUCCGGGUGCAGAUGACAGCCACUGUGAGUGAGGAAACGACGCUGCGACGCCAACUCGAGCGCGCUGCAGAUCGAUGUAAACCAAGUACGGCUACCGUCGCAGCACGCACGUCAUAGCUCCAGUGCAAGGUGAGGGGCGGGGAGGCGGGGAGGAAGAGCGUGACUCGCGUUGUCUUUGCGAACUCACUCGUCCCUUGGCGCUUGUGAGCCUGGCGCCCGCUGCCUCUGCGUGUGAAUAGGCGUGUGCGUCGUACCGAAAGACAACAAAAGGUGGACGGGCUUCUCUCGUUACCAUGUCGCCCAACUAGGCGUGCCAAAGGACUGCCGCGCUGGUGUGCUAGAUGGGCAAGGCACAAGCUUUCCCGGGAUGUUUUUGACCGGCCAAGAGACGUUAGCGAGCUCGGGUCAUGGGCCAAAAAAAAAAUGAGUCAUUCACUUGUGUUGAGGCACUUAUGCACAGCUGUUCUGCCUCCUUACCAGACUCCCUCGCUGCUUGCACCGCAGUGUGCAGUGGGCCUCUGUGAAAGCGUGGCUUGCUGGAAAGGGGAGGGGGCAGAAGCAGGAAUGGUCUCCGCGUUGGCGAGGCCUCCUUCUUUGCCUUUUGCUUUGCCUGUCUAGCACUCUCGUGUCGACGACAGGCGCGCGUCUCCGUUACACGCGCGUAUGCGACGCUGUGCCAUGACUGCUCCCCCGCACUCUCAGCCACACACACCACACACACACUCCUUCUCUCUACUCAUGCUUUCGAGCACCCGACCAAACAACGAAAAG